rnacentral:rRNA from 1 species
CAUGUAGGCGGGCUUUUAAGUCUGACGUGAAAAUGCGGGGCUUAACCCCGUAUGGCGUUGGAUACUGGAAGUCUUGAGUGCAGGAGAGGAAAGGGGAAUUCCCAGUGUAGCGGUGAAAUGCGUAGAUAUUGGGAGGAACACCAGUGGCGAAGGCGCCUUUCUGGACUGUGUCUGACGCUGAGAUGCGAAAGCAUGGGUGCAAACA